rnacentral:rRNA from 1 species
UACGUAGGGGGCGAGCGUUGUCCGGAUUUAUUGGGCGUAAAGAGCGUGUAGGCGGCCAGGUAGGUCUGGUGUGAAAACUCGAGGCUUAACCUCGAGAUGUCAUCGGAAACCAUCUGGCUAGAGUCCGGAAGAGGAGAGUGGAAUUCCUGGUGUAGCGGUGAAAUGCGCAGAUAUCAGGAAGAACACCAAUGGCGAAAGCAGCUCUCUGGGACGGUACUGACGCUGAGAAGCGAAAGCAUGGGGAGCGAACAGG